rnacentral:rRNA from 1 species
CCUACGGGCGGCAGCAGUGGGGGAUAUUGCACAAUGGGGGAAACCCUGAUGCAGCGACGCCGCGUGGGGGAAGAAGGGCCUCGGGGUGUAAAGCCCUGUCAGCAGGGAAGAAAAGGACGGUACCUGAGGAAGAAGACACGGCUAACGACGUGCCAGCAGCCUCGGUAAGACGUAGGGGGCAAGCGUUAUCCGGAUUUACUGGGUGGAAAGGGGGCGCAGCCGGGGUGGGAAGCAAGGAGUGACAGCCCGGGGCCCACCCCCGGGACUGCUCUUGGAACUGCGUGGCUGUAGUGCAGGAGGGGCCGGCGGACUUCCUUGUGUAUCGGUGAAAUGCGUAGCUCUCCGGAGGAACACCGGUGGCGAAGGCGGCCUGCUGGACUGCACCUGACGUUGAGGCCCGAACGCGUGGGGAUCAAACAGGAUUAGAUACCCUUGUAGUC